UCCCUCCCAUUCUCUCUUCUCGUUUGCUUUUUCUCUCGUUCCACGAGGACCUCACGGCGGAGAAAGAAGGUCGCUGGCUGCCGAUGUUGUCGGCGGUGAGACGGAAAGCACGAGCGAGCCACCACCGCGGGGCGUCGGAAACAUUGUGUUGUUGCUUCUUACCGGCAAAAAGGCCUCGCCGGCGUCAGAUUUAAGAAAUUAGGGUUCAGGGCGAGCAGGGACAACGUAAAUGCAGUGUUCUUCGCAGAUACGUCCCAUCCGAUCAAAGCAAGAAGCAUCGACGGCACCGACUUCAUCCCUCAAGACAACGCCGUCUAUCACGCCUAUCUUUGCUCCUCCGUUCCUCUCUAUCUUUCGUUUCUCCUACACACACACUCUCUCUCUCUCUCUCUCUCGUUUCUCUCUAAACAUUGUCGUUUCGUUCCUAACCAAAAAUGUGAAAUUCUCUCUUUUGCAGAUGACCCUCUCGGUGAUCCCAACCUCCUCGGCGGCUCUUACAGUCUUGCUGCACUCUCUUCGCCGUCCGCCUUUCUCACCAAACCAUCGAACACAAGCUUCGCAAGGAGUGAUGGCCAUCAGAAAUCAAGUUGGAUUUUUGGUCUGCUUGGUGCCGAUGUCGCUUAGGGGUUCCUGAUCCUAUAGGGUAAACUUGCCUUCCGUUACUCACCAACCGAUGGAGAGAGAGAAAGGAGGGAAGAAAAGGAAAUGUAAAAAGGAGUGAGUAAAAAAGGCAAAUUAUACAGGGAAAACAUAGAAGGAAGAGUAAAAAGAAAAACCGUCAUUUCCUAAGCCAUGAAGAGAGAGAAAGAGAGAGAGGAAAGGUAAA